AUGCCAAGAGUGAUCAUCUCUCAUGAGUCAUGACCUGGUCCAAGAGUGCCAUAUCUGCUUGGAAGAGUUGAAGGUCGGUGAUGAAGCCACAAAGGUGCCUUGUAAAUGCAAGCGCAUUUACUUUCACCGGCUUUGCCUCCAGAAAUGGUGCCUUGUACAACCUUCAUGCCCUGUCUGUUACGUCCCCUGUUAUGUGAUGAUCAACUACACCAAGGAAAAAAAUUUCUUCCAGAAAUUGUGGUGUUUUUAG
rnacentral:lncRNA from 1 species